AGAGUUUGAUCCUGGCUCAGAUUGAACGCUGGCGGCAGGCCUAACACAUGCAAGUCGAGCGGCAGCGGGAAAGUAGCUUGCUACUUUUGCCGGCGAGCGGCGGACGGGUGAGUAAUGCCUGGGGAUCUGCCCAGUCGAGGGGGAUAACAGUUGGAAACGACUGCUAAUACCGCAUACGCCCUACGGGGGAAAGGAGGGGACCUUCGGGCCUUUCGCGAUUGGAUGAACCCAGGUGGGAUUAGCUAGUUGGUGGGGUAAUGGCUCACCAAGGCGACGAUCCCUAGCUGGUCUGAGAGGAUGAUCAGCCACACUGGAACUGAGACACGGUCCAGACUCCUACGGGAGGCAGCAGUGGGGAAUAUUGCACAAUGGGGGAAACCCUGAUGCAGCCAUGCCGCGUGUGUGAAGAAGGCCUUCGGGUUGUAAAGCACUUUCAGCGAGGAGGAAAGGUUGGCAGCUAAUAUCUGUCAGCUGUGACGUUACUCGCAGAAGAAGCACCGGCUAACUCCGUGCCAGCAGCCGCG
rnacentral:rRNA from 1 species